rnacentral:RNase_P_RNA from 3 species
CCAGAGGGUCGGGCGGUCGCCGCCGCGCUUGCGCGGGGGAGGAAAGUCCGGGCUCCACGGGAACACGGUGCCGGGUAACGCCCGGCGGGUUCGGUUCGCCGGACUUAGGGAAAGUGCCACAGAGAGCAGACCGCUCACCGUCCCGGCUUUUACGUCGGGGCAGGAGCAAGGGUGAAAGGGUGCGGCAAGAGCGCACCGCGCGACCGGCAACGGAAGCGGCAUGGCAAACCCCACCGGGAGCAAGAUCGAAUAGGGACCGCAUAUGGGGAGUUCCGCCUCGCGGUCCGGGUUGAUUGCUUGAGCCGUCACGUAAGUGCCGGCCUAGAGGAAUGGCCGCCCAUCGCCAGCACCUCCCACACGGGAAAGGGCGAGCGUGGACAGAACCCGGCUUACAGACCCUCUGGCAUU